AGUGAACGCUGGCGGUAGGCCUAACACAUGCCAGUCGAACGGCAGCACAGUAAGAGCUUGCUCUUACGGGUGGCGAGUGGCGGACGGGUGAGGAAUACAUCGGAAUCUACUUUUUCGUGGGGGAUAACGUAGGGAAACUUACGCUAAUACCGCAUACGACCUACGGUUGAAAGCAGGGGAUCUUCGGACCUUGCGCGAUUGAAUGAGCCGAUGUCGGAUUAGCUAGUUGGCGGGGUAAAGGCCCACCAAGGCGACGAUCCGUAGCUGGUCUGAGAGGAUGAUCAGCCACACUGGAACUGAGACACGGUCCAGACUCCUACGGGAGGCAGCAGUGGGGAAUAUUGGACAAUGGGCGCAAGCCUGAUCCAGCCAUACCGCGUGGGUGAAGAGGGCCUUCGGGUUGUAAAGCCCUUUUGUUGGGAAAGAAAAGCAGCAGGUUAAUACCCCGCUGUUCUGACGGUACCCAAAGAAUAAGCACCGGCUAACUUCGUG
rnacentral:rRNA from 1 species